GAUGAACGCUGGCGGCGUGCCUAAUACAUGCAAGUAGAACGCUGAAGGAAGGAGCUUGCUCUUUCCGGAUGAGUUGCGAACGGGUGAGUAACGCGUAGGUAACCUGCCUGGUAGCGGGGGAUAACUAUUGGAAACGAUAGCUAAUACCGCAUAACAGUAGAUGUUGCAUGAUAUCUACUUAAAAGGUGCAAUUGCACCACUACCAGAUGGACCUGCGUUGUAUUAGCUAGUUGGUGAGGUAACGGCUCACCAAGGCGACGAUACAUAGCCGACCUGAGAGGGUGAUCGGCCACACUGGGACUGAGACACGGCCCAGACUCCUACGGGAGGCAGCAGUAGGGAAUCUUCGGCAAUGGACGGAAGUCUGACCGAGCAACGCCGCGUGAGUGAAGAAGGUUUUCGAAUCGUAAAGCUCUGUUGUAAGAGAAGAACGAGUGUGAGAGUGGAAAGUUCACACUGUGACGGUAGCUUACCAGAAAGGGACGGCUAACUACGUG
rnacentral:rRNA from 1 species